rnacentral:lncRNA from 1 species
AUUACAGAAAGCUCUGACAGACAAGAUAAUCAUCUCAGCUUAGGGAAGAAAUUGAAAAAUGUCCUUGUUAGAUUCCCAUUGUAUUCGGCUCUGACAGCAGACUCACUAGAAACAGUUUCCUUCACUGAGGAGGACAAGGCCUGUGAACCUCUGGAACAGUCCAUAAGCAUUUCCUCCCAAACUGCUCCCCAGGGUGAGGAGUUUUCCCUGAUUUCUGACAGAACAGACAUUGAGCAGACAUGUGAAUAUGGUGACCUUGACAACAUUAUUGUCGACACAACAACUGAGAGCUCCAUAUGUCCUGAGUUCACUCAGGACCCUCCCGGAUUGACAUCUCCACCUACUGAUAAUAUGGCGAAAGAGGUCAUCUUAAAUGGCAACCAACCCACCAUGGGAAGAAAAUUUAAAAGAUUAUUUUCCAAAAGCUCAAGCUCAGCAAGAACCCCUGUGACCCUUGAACCCACUCAAGACAAUGUUUCCUCUUCUGAGGAGAUAGCAAUUGAGACCUGUGCUCCAGAGGCAGAAUCAUACCCCUAUACGGCAGCUCUACAGCCAUCUUUGGGCACAUUGCCAGAAACAUCUCCAUCUGAUGACAUCUGUGAGGGAGGUGGAACGUCUUUGACAGCCAUGAAGCAGGACAAGGAACCUGACCCUACUAAAACCACCCCAGAUAGUAAAGAUACUCAUCUCAGUUUGGGUAAAAGACUGAAAACAUUGUUUUGGUCCUCUAAGCCCUUAGACGUAGGGCUUGCCGUGCAGGCAGAUGAGGCAGUCCCUGAGGUAGCCCUCACUGUACCCUCUGACAUAGCAGAGACUACGAGUGAAUGUGCUGAGCUAAGCCAUGCUGUCCUUGACACAAUUGCCGAGACGUCUCAAAGUCCAGAGAGUCUCUCCCAAGAAAUGAUUCAAGCAUCUCCCAUCUUGGAAACAGUGACUUGUGUGACAGUAGUUGAUGAUGGGAUGACUGCUGGCAACAGUCGCAGCAUGGGCAAUACAUUGAAACAGUUCUUUGUCAAAUACCCAAAGAACAAAAGCGAUGUCCCAGCAGUGCCGAUAGUCUCGCAGGAAGCAGUUGAGGAGAGUGCAGAUGACAUCAGUACUCCUAAAGAUGUGUCAUGGGCCUCUGAGGCAGCUGUACAGCAAUCUGACCACAUAUCCUCUCAAGAAUCUCCCCGACGCGAGGACAUUUUUGAGAUUGAUGGAACUGUAUCACCUAUAAGCCAUGAGAGGGGACCUUCCUCUGACUUGACCAGCCAGACCACAAAAGCUGACCAUCUCAGUAUUGGUGAGAAGCUGAAACAAUUUUUUUUCCGUCCAAAGCACCC